rnacentral:tRNA from 1 species
GGUGGGGUACCGAAGCGGUCAAACGGGGCAGACUGUAAAUCUGUUGGCAUUCGCCUUCGGAGGUUCGAAUCCUCCCCCCACCA